GACGAACGCUGGCGGCGUGCUUAACACAUGCAAGUCGAACGGAAAGGCCCUGCUUUUGUGGGGUGCUCGAGUGGCGAACGGGUGAGUAACACGUGAGUAACCUGCCCUUGACUUUGGGAUAACUUCAGGAAACUGGGGCUAAUACCGGAUAGGAGCUCCUGCUGCAUGGUGGGGGUUGGAAAGUUUCGGCGGUUGGGGAUGGACUCGCGGCUUAUCAGCUUGUUGGUGGGGUGGUGGCUUACCAAGGCUUUGACGGGUAGCCGGCCUGAGAGGGUGACCGGCCACAUUGGGACUGAGAUACGGCCCAGACUCCAACGGGAGGCAGCAGUGGGGAAUAUUGCACAAUGGGCGGAAGCCUGAUGCAGCAACGCCGCGUGCGGGAUGACGGCCUGCGGGUUGUAAACCGCUUUCGCCUGUGACGAAGCGAGAGUGACGGUAAUGGGUAAAGAAGCACCGGCUAACUACGUG
rnacentral:rRNA from 1 species